CUCGCCUUCUGAGUUGUAAGUGAUUUCAGAAGAUAUUGCAUUCUCAACUGGUCAGUGAGUUUAGUAGAUUUAUGAAUUGUAGCUUCGAACUGUUGCCAGUAUGAUUUCCAGUUGGUUGAUUCGCCAUCAAAGGUUGGAAUGUUUAACUCAGGAAGUCUAAUGGUUUUCUGUCGUUCAGAACAGGAGCUGGAGAAGUGUUCAAUAAGUUUAUUGAUUUCAUCUCGGUGCUGUUGGUUUCUAACUUCUACUUCGGCUUCAUAUCGUUUUCGUUCUUCCUCUUGUUGUAUUAGUAGUUUUUCUUGUUCCUUUACUUUUUUUUCCUUUUUCUUGUUGACGUUGC